AACGCUAGCUACAGGCUUAACACAUGCAAGUCGAGGGGCAGCAUGAUUGAAGCUUGCUUCAAUUGAUGGCGACCGGCGCUCGGGUGAGUAACACGUAUCCAACCUGCCGAUGACUCGGGGAUAGCCUUUCGAAAGAAAGAUUAAUACCCGAUGGCAUAGUUCUUCCGCAUGGUGGAACUAUUAAAGAAUUUCGGUCAUCGAUGGGGAUGCGUUCCAUUAGGUUGUUGGCGGGGUAACGGCCCACCAAGCCUUCGAUGGAUAGGGGUUCUGAGAGGAAGGUCCCCCACAUUGGAACUGAGACACGGUCCAAACUCCUACGGGAGGCAGCAGUGAGGAAUAUUGGUCAAUGGACGAGAGUCUGAACCGGCCAAGUAGCGUGAAGGAUGACUGCCCUAUGGGUUGUAAACUUCUUUUAUACGGGAAUAAAGUGAGGCACGUGUGCCUUUUUGUAUGUACCGUAUGAAUAAGGAUCGGCUAACUCCGUGCCAGCAGCCGCGGUAAUACGGAGGAUCCGAGCGUUAUCCGGAUUAUUGGGUUUAAAGGGAGCGUAGGCGGACGCUUAAGUCAGUUGUGAAAGUUUGCGGCUCAACCGUAAAAUUGCAGUUGAUACUGGGUGUCUUGAGUACAGUAGAGGCAGGCGGAAUUCGUGGUGUAGCGGUGAAAUGCUUAGAUAUCACGAAGAACUCCGAUUG
rnacentral:rRNA from 1 species